UGGGGAAUUUUGGACAAUGGGGGAAACCCUGAUCCAGCCAUCCCGCGUGUGCGAUGAAGGCCUUCGGGUUGUAAAGCACUUUUGGCAGGAAAGAAACGUCAUGGGCUAAUACCCCGUGAAACUGACGGUACCUGCAGAAUAAGCACCGGCUAACUACGUGCCAGCAGCCGCGGUAAUACGUAGGGUGCAAGCGUUAAUCGGAAUUACUGGGCGUAAAGCGUGCGCAGGCGGUUCGGAAAGAAAGAUGUGAAAUCCCAGGGCUCAACUUUGGAACUGCAUUUUUAACUGCCGGGCUAGAGUGUGGCAGAGGGAGGUGGAAUUCCGCGUGUAGCAGUUAAAUGCGUAGAUGUGCGGAGGAACACCGGUGGCGAAGGCAGCCUCAUGGGAUAACACUGACGCUAAUGCACGAAAGCGUGGGGAGCAAACAGG
rnacentral:rRNA from 1 species